rnacentral:rRNA from 1 species
GACGAACGCUGGCGGCGUGCUUAACACAUACAAGUCGAACGGACAGGCCCUGCUUUUGUGGGGUGCUCGAGUGGCGAACGGGUGAGUAACACGUGAGUAACCUGCCCUUGUCUUUGGGAUAACUUCUGGAAACUCGGGCUAAUACCGGAUAGGAGCUCUUGCUGCGUGGUGGGGGUUGGUAAGUUUCGGCGGUUGGGGCUGGAAUCGCGGCUUCUCAGCUUGUUGGUGGGGUAGUGGAUUACCAAGGCUUUGACGGGUAGCCGGCCUGAGAGGGUGACCGGCGACAUUGGGACUGAGAUACGGCCCAGACUCCUACGGGACGCAGCAGUGGGGAAUAUUGCACAAUGGGCGGAAGCCUGAUGCAGCAACGCCGCGUGCGGGAUGACGGCCUUCGGGUUGUAAACCGCUUUCGCCGGUGACGAAGCGUGAGUGACGGUAAUUGGUAAAGAAGCACCGGCUAACUACGUG